rnacentral:rRNA from 1 species
GGCAUGCUGCAGCUAAACAUGCAGUCGAGCGGUAGAGUCUGUGCUGAGACUUGAGAGCGGCGGAGGGUGCGGAACACGUGUGCAACCUGCCGUUAUCUGGGGGGGAGCAGUUCGAAAGGAAGAUUAAUACCCCAUAAUAUAAGAAACGGCAUCGUUCUUUAUUGAAAACUCGCGUGGAUAUAGAUGGGCACGCGCAAGAUUAGAUAGUUGGUGAGGUAACGGCUCACCAAGUCUGCGAUCUUUAUGGGGCCUGAGAGGGUGAUCCCCCACACUGGUACUGAGACACGGACCAGACUCCUACAGGAGGCAGCAGUGAGGAAUAUUGGACAAUGGGUGAGAGCCUGAUCCAGCCCUCCCCCGCGAAGGAGGACAGCGCUAUCGGUUGUAAACUUCUUUUGUAUAGGGAUAAACCUUUCCUCUUGAGGGAAGCUGAAGGUACUAUACGAAUAAGCACCGGCCAACUCCGUGCCAGCUGCCGCGGUAAUACGGAAGGUGCAAGCGUUAUCCGGAUUUAUUAGGUUUAAAGGGUCCGUAGGCGGAUCUGUAAGUCAUUGGUGAAAUCUCACAGCUCAACUGUGAAACUGCCAUUGAUACUGCAGGUCUUGAGUGUUGUUGAAGUAGCUGGAAUAAAUAAUGUAGCCGGUGAAAUGCAUAGAUAUUACUUAUAACACCGAUUGCGAAUGCAGGUUGCUAACCAACAACUGACGCUGAUGACGAAAGCGUGGGGAGCGAACAGGAUUAGAUACCCUGGUAGUCCACGCCCUAACGAUGCUACUCCUUUUGGGUUUUCGGAUUCAGAUACUAAGCGACAGUGAUAAGUUAGCCACCUGGGGAGUACGAACGCAAGGUUUGAAACUCAAAGGAAUUGACGAGUGCCCGCACACGCCGUCGAUUAUGUGGAUUUAAUUCAAUGAUACGCUAGGAAGCUUACCACCGCAUCAAAUGCGAAAUGAGCGGCUGAGAAUAAGCAUUUCAUCGGUCAUUUUCAACGUGCUGCACG